rnacentral:lncRNA from 1 species
UCCCAAGUUAAUGAAUGGACGAAGAAACUAAAAAUCAAAUCCAGCAUCAUAAGUUGCAGCAUCUGAUUUUAUUCCAUCAUAAGUUGCUCUAAUUCUGGGUUAACUAACUGAGGCGGACCAAGGUGAACACAGAAAGGAAUAUAUUAUUAGUUAGGAUAAACUAAAAAAUGAUAAGUAUCGAGCUUAGCUUGAAUACGUGAUGUUUUGAAAUCAAAAUAUUUUCUUUAUUGGUAACUUGUCUGUAGUUCCUUUGGCAUCUCUGUUUCUUUCUCCUUCGCAUAGUAAUUUUGUGUCCAGCUCCAAAAUGAUUCUUGUAAGCCAUUUCGGAUUUCCAGUAUAGUAUGGAUAAUCCAAUACAUAGUCCACUGCAAUAGCCCAUCAGAGCAGCUUUCCAAAAAUUGUCGAGAAAUUCAGAAUUGCUUUCUUGAUCGUCUAACACUGAUGCUGUAUAAUUUGCCUCUGACACAUGAUCAUUGCCACAGCCUUUCGAUACUGGAAAUCAUGUAAUACAUCAGUACCUUUAAAUGAAUUAUUCUGAAAUGUAACUGCAAAAAAUAUAAAAGAGUGAAAAACUGAAGUGAAGUGAAUAUUUUGCUGGAAACCAUCAUCAUAUUUUGAGUUUAAAAUUAUUUCGGGUUCGUAGAAUUUUAUAUUGUAUGUAACUUAUCAUUAAAGACCAAUAGGAAAUGCGUUUUCUUCAAAUGUUGCAAAUAUGGCUGCUAUCUCCCUC